rnacentral:rRNA from 1 species
ACCUUACCUCUGUUGCUUUGGCGGGCCGCGGUCCUCCGCGGCCGCCCCCCUCCCCGGGGGGGUGGCCAGCGCCCGCCAGAGGACCAUCAAACUCCAGUCAGUAAACGAUGCAGUCUGAAAAACAUUUAAUAAACUAAAACUUUCAACAACGGAUCUCUUGGUUCUGGCAUCGAUGAAGAACGCAGCGAAAUGCGAUAAGUAAUGUGAAUUGCAGAAUUCAGUGAAUCAUCGAAUCUUUGAACGCACAUUGCGCCCUUUGGUAUUCCGAAGGGCAUGCCUGUUCGAGCGUCAUUACAACCCUCAAGCUCUGCUUGGUAUUGGGCACCGUCCUUUGCGGGCGCGCCUCAAAGACCUCGGCGGUGGCGUCUUGCCUCAAGCGUAGUAGAACAUACAUCUCGCUUCGGAGCGCAGGGCGUCGCCCGCCGGACGAACCUUCUGAACUUUUCUCAAGGUUGACCUCGGAUCAGGUAGGGAUACCCGCUGAACUUAA